rnacentral:rRNA from 1 species
GCCUCCCUCCGCCGCCACUCAGACUACCGUACGGGACGGCGACGCAGGUGGGUAAGUUUUGGCGUCAAGUACGGGGAAACCCGUGGACGCAGCAACGCCGCGUGGAGGAGUGAAAUCCUUGGAUGUAAACUCCUUUCGAUAGGGAAGAUAAUGACGGUACCUAUAGAAGAAGCCCGGCUAACUUCGUGCCAGCAGCCGCGGUAAUAC